UUUCCGUAGGUGAACCUGCGGAAGGAUCGUUAUCGUACAAAAUGUGAGGGGCAUGCGAGGGCUGUCGCUGACCCGAAAGGUCGUGCACGCCCGAGUGCCCUCACACACAUCCAUCUCACCCCUAUGUGCACCACCGCGUGGGUCCCCCUUUGGCUUGUUCGGAGGGGGGCUUACGUUUUCACACAAACUUUGUAUGCAGUGUAGAAUGUAUUUUUUGUUUUUGCGAUCACGCAAUCAAUACAACUUUCAACAACGGAUCUCUUGGCUCUC
rnacentral:misc_RNA from 1 species